CCUACGGGUGGCAGCAGUGAGGAAUAUUGGUCAAUGGGCUUACGCCUGAACCAGCCAAGUCGCGUGAGGGAGGACUGCCCUAUGGGUUGUAAACCUCUUUUGUCAGGGAGCAACGCCGGCUACGUGUAGCCUGACUGAGAGUACCUGAAGAAAAAGCAUCGGCUAACUCCGUGCCAGCAGCCGCGGUAAUACGGAGGAUGCGAGCGUUAUCCGGAUUUGUUGGGUUUAGGGGGUGCGUAGGCGGAUUGCUAAGUCAGCGGUAAAAUCGCGGGGCUCAACCCCGUCCCGCCGUUGAAACUGGGGUUCUUGAGUGGGCGAGAAGUAUGCGGAAUGCGUGGUGUAGCGGUGAAAUGCAUAGAUAUCACGCAGAACCCCGAUUGCGAAGGCAGCAUACCGGUGCCCAACUGACGCUGAAGCACGAAAGCGUGGGUAUCGAACAGGAUUAGAUACCCGGGUAGUC
rnacentral:rRNA from 1 species